CAGCCGCCACGGGAAUACGGAGGGUGCAAGCGUUAAUCGGAAUUACUGGGCGUAAAGCGCACGCAGGCGGUCUGACAAGUCAGAUGUGAAAUCCCCGGGCUUAACCUGGGAACUGCAUUUGAAACUGUCAGGCUGGAGUCUUGUAGAGGGGGGUAGAAUUCCAGGUGUAGCGGUGAAAUGCGUAGAGAUCUGGAGGAAUACCGGUGGCGAAGGCGGCCCCCUGGACAAAGACUGACGCUCAGGUGCGAAAGCGUGGGGAGCAAACAGGAUUAGAUACCCGCGUAGUCCCUGUCUCUUAUAA
rnacentral:rRNA from 1 species